UGAUUGUUUAAUAUGUACUUACAAGUUACUUUUUUCUAAUUCCUUAAAAGCUACUACUUGAAAUGGCCGGGAUGCUUCAACGGUUGUAGAUGCAGCGAUGAAUGUACAAGGAGGGCAGAAAGCCAGGUUCAUGAUUAAACAUUCAAGGUGUUUCAAGUUAGAGUGAGUUUUGUAAAGGAUGUGCAAAAGCAAGAGGCAUGGUGGGAAAGACAACAUGAACUUGCGGCUGAGAAUUUUGAGGUAAGAAUUUCUUCUAAUAUUUCUUACUCUUCAUCUUCUUCUUUCAAUUUUUAUUUCUUUAAGUUUUAAUUUUGUUUAUAUAGAACUGUUAGUGUUUACAUGUAUUUUU